rnacentral:misc_RNA from 1 species
AACGCACCUUGCGCCCGCCAGUAUUCUGGCGGGCAUGCCUGUUCGAGCGUCAUUUCAACCAUCAAGCCCCGGGCUUGUGUUGGGGAUCUGCGGCUGCCCGCAGGCCCUGAAAACCAGUGGCGGGCUCGCUGUCACUCCGAGCGUAGUAGCACUCGUAUCUCGCUCAGGGCGUGCCGCGGGCUCCGGCCGUUAAACCGCCUCUUUAGCACCCAAAGGUUGACCUCGGAUCAGGUAGGAGGACCCGCUGAACUUAA